GACGAGAUAGCCAAGCCCGGUAUGGCGCAGGAUUGCUAAUCCUGUGGGCGUUUCGCCCUCGGGGGUUCAAAUCCCCCUCUCGUCG
rnacentral:tRNA from 2 species